UGGGUUGUGGCUCAGUGGUAGAGCGAAGACUUGCCCGUGUGAGGCACUGGGUUCGAUCCUCAGCACCUCAU
rnacentral:tRNA from 1 species